ensembl:lncRNA
GGGCAGUGGGGGCUGGGUGGGGGGACAUUCCGAGGCAGGAAGUGGUCCAGCAAGAUUUCGGAGAUAAACGUUCGGGGGGAAGGAACGGCGAGGCACUUGCAGAGUUACAGACGGGAAUCAGAACCCAAAUUGACGCCAAUUGAUCUAUCUCCCCUCUUUAAUUACUCCUGGGGCAUCUUUCCUUUUUUUUUUUUUACCCCUCCUUAGCUUUUUGCGCGCUCUUUUAUCAGUUUGCUCCCACCCCACGUAACAGGGGGGCAGUGACCAAGGACGAGGAACACACAGUCACCACCGUCACCGCGGCCCUGCCGCCAUCCUGCCCUCCGCCAUUUAUCGCCCUGUUUUUGAUUUUUUUUUUUUAAUCUGUCCCUGUCGCUUGGGUUGAGUGGAGAGUGGAGCCUCUGUGGGGGUGUCGGCCACUGUGCCCCCCAGAGAAGUCAGGGGAAUGGAGACGGCCGCUGCCCGGCCUGGCCCCCGGGGGACGGUGGCUGGUCCCCCGGGGGUUCUGAGGGGCGGAGGAGGGGGCGGGGAGGCUCCCCCCGUACCCCUCGGGGACAGCUUGCCCGCCUCCUCAGCGCCCCGUCUUGCCCCCAGGAAGCUCAGAGCUCCGCGGGGCUUCCUGGCGUCCAGGCGGGGUGAGGUUGGGUGGUAGGAGAGGCCGGGAGAGCCGGGCCCUGCAGAGCAGAAGAGCUGCGCAGUUUUUGAGCGCUGGGUCGCUUGGGCCCCGAGGCCCUCGGGUCUGGUGACACGACGCGGCCACCACUUUCGGCACCUCGGGCUGUGGCAGGGACCCGGGCGGCUGGGGGCUUACCUCACCCCCGCCUCUGCCCCCAGUGCAGUCCCCCUGCACAGCAGCCCGGCUAGUGAGCUAGAGGCCCGACACCUCGGGGCCCCGGUGACGGGGCUGGCACGGCCCAGGGGGCGGCUGUGCCAGUCCACCCCAGACACAGCGGGCAGCUCUCCGUGGGUCAGCUCCAUCCCGACCCGGGGCCCCUUCCGACCUCCGCGCCCAGCUCGUGGCCCUCCAUCCUGUCUCUUCCCCAAGUCCCCCAGCUGUCUUCAGCGGGACCCCCCUCUCGGGUCUCUGAGCCAUCACGCGAGGACCCCCACGCGCAGAACACCUAGAAUCAUCGUGCCCGCCGCCCCAUCCACCGCGCGGCUGUGUUCUCCUCCUCUCGCCCGUAACCUGCUGUUUCUGGCAGAAUCCACAGCCUGGGUUUUGUCUUUAACCUUUAUCGCUCGCAAUCCCAAUAAAGCAUUUAAAAUUAUUUUCUCUGAGUCCUCUGCUCUUUC